UUGUUAAAGAUCUGAAAGAUUUUGUUUAACAGUAUUUUAAGAGGAGGAGAAGUACCGACAUCCUGGCAGAAAGCGGUGGUGGCUCUAACACCUAAAGAGGAAGAUUCAGCUUCAUACAGGCCCAUUUCAAUCCUAAACAAGAGUUUAUGUCUAAAAAGGUUAAAAGAAUGGGAAAAGUGAUGCCAAAAUUGAUAAAUAUGGAUCAAUGUGAUUUUGUGGAGGGGAGGCAAACAUUUGACAAUAUUAACUGAACCUGAUGAUCCAGAAGGAAGCAGAAUGAAUGAAUGGGCCCUGGUUGUGCAAUGGAACUAUUCAGGUGCAGAAUAGAAGUCUGAAGCCUGGAAUAGUAUUGACAGGGCUUUGACCAGUGCUUCAGGUAUCCUCACACUGAUGAGCAAUGCAGACAUUACUUUGAUGACCUCUGGAGGAGGAAGCAGGAUACCCUCAACCAUUGGAUCAUGCAAUUUAGUACAGGGGACACCACACAGAUGUGUAAGUUUCAAUUUCAGUGAGUAAUUGUAAGAGUUAAAAGCUGAAUAUAGUCAAGACUGGUAUUCAUAAUGGUAUGGUAUUCUGUUCUGUUUUUUCCACAGUUGCUAUGGAGUAAGCCGCCAAUGUCAGGUCCCAUGCAGCGCAUUUGCUAAGGAUGAUAGAAGCAUGUGCACAGCAGGGUAGGCCUGUCCCACAGAAUCUUCCUGCCCUGAUCUGACUCAACCAAUGAAAUUGCUUACCACUACCAUGGUCCAUUCUAUGGUAAGCACUGUAUGUACAUCAUUGCCCAUCAACCAGGAAAUGGCUUUUAGACUUUCAGAAAAUGAACCGGAAGCACAAUGUACUGGGAAAGAGCACGAAGCUCUGCAAUGGUGGACAACAUCAAAAGCAUGAAUUAAGAAGUUCCAAGGAUGUUUUGUUCGCAAACUCUGGAUCAUUUUGUUAAUGAGAAAGAAAAAUAUGCAGCAGAAGGAGCAUGACCGAAGGAAAAAAAAACGUUUUAACAAAAAAGGUGACAGUUCUAAUUCUUUUCAUGAACCUCAAUCCUUUAAUAUUCACACACAAGCUAAGACUUCUUCUGAUUGGGCUUCACGGUUGUGAAACAAUAGUUAUUCAUUUCAUUAUUCUGGACAAACACAGACUGAUGUUAAUAAUUGUCAAGCUAAUAUUGACAUACUGCAUGAUUUAACACUGAAAUAUAAAACUUUACAGUUAGAUAAUUGUUAUUUAAGUGAAUAUUUAAAUGCAAAUAUGGUUCUAAAAGGUUUAAGGGUAUACAUGUACCUAAACAAUGCUAUUGAAGGCCCUGACGUCCACACAGAAUUAACUAUAUUUGAUAACUGUGGUUUUUCCAUUAUGAAGUCGUAUCAUUAAACAUAAUCAUAAGGAAA